ACGAACGCUGGCGGCGUGCUUAACACAUGCAAGUCGAACGGAAAGGCCCUGCUUUUGUGGGGUGCUCGAGUGGCGAACGGGUGAGUAACACGUGAGUAACCUGCCCUUGACUUUGGGAUAACUUCAGGAAACUGGGGCUAAUACCGGAUAGGAGCUCCUGCUGCAUGGUGGGGGUUGGAGAGUUUCGGCGGUUGGGGAUGGACUCGCGGCUUAUCAGCUUGUUGGUGGGGUAGUGGCUUACCAAGGCUUUGACGGGUAGCCGGCCUGAGAGGGUGACCGGCCACAUUGGGACUGAGAUGCGGCCCAGACUCCUACGGGAGGCAGCAGUGGGGAAUAUUGCACAAUGGGCGGAAGCCUGAUGCAGCAACGCCGCGUGCGGGAUGACGGCCUUCGGGUUGUAAACCGCUUUCGCCUGUGACGAAGCGUGAGUGACGGUAAUGGGUAAAGAAGCACCGGCUAACUACGUG
rnacentral:rRNA from 1 species